ACAAGCGAUAUGACAUUGAUUUUCUCCCUGAAAGAAAUAAACGAGUACAUAAGUAGGCAUAUCCAAAUCGAGGCAACUGAUCGUUCGAUUGAGGAAAUUGCCCCAGAAAAGAUAGCAUCAAUCAGUGUGGAGUGCUCAGAGUUGAGCCAUACCAGUAUGGCUCGAACAGACCUCCUUCUUGGCUUGCCCAACACGUUUACUUGCACUUUGCCAUGUCUGUGUCGACUUAAGGGAAUUGACAUCCUAAAUUGAUUGGGGAACAGAUGGAUGGAGGAAAUCUGUAAUUAGCACUCUUCAUGUCUAUUCUCAUUAUCUUAAGUACUUCCUUGAAGGAGCAGCAGCUGCAGUUGAGCAGUAUUUUGCUCACUGCGCUCACUCAUGCGGAGGAUUGGAUUCCGCACGGGGAUAAGAUACGGGGAACCACCACAAAAACACGCACCGCACCCACUCCUAAUGCUCUCUCAUUGCAAGAAUGUAACGUUUAUUCAACAAAUUCAAUUCAGAGCUCAACAUUGAAAUCGAGAGCCCAUAAAAAAGGUAUCACCUCAGCAAACUCCAGCAACAAAUUGAAUCCUCUUCCGCAAGGCAAUCCCCGCCUCAGGAAAAUUCUCGCUGCGUCGCCGAAAAUAAAGUCAUGGCCGAGGCCAUAAAUAGCUCCGCCGAAAAAAAAA
rnacentral:sRNA from 1 species